GGGUCGUUAGCUCAGUUGGUAGAGCAGUUGGCUUUUAACCACUUGGUCGAAGGUUCGAAUCCUUCACGACCCACCA
rnacentral:tRNA from 1 species